rnacentral:rRNA from 1 species
CCUACGGGACGCAGCAGUGAGGAAUAUUGGUCAAUGGGCGGGAGCCUGAACCAGCCAAGCCGCGGGAGGGAAGAAGGUACAGCGUAUCGUAAACCUCUUUUGUCAGGGAACAAAGGCGGGGACUAGUCCCCGGAUGAGGGUACCUGAAGAAAAAGCAUCGGCUAACUCCGUGCCAGCAGCCGCGGUAAUACGGAGGAUGCGAGCGUUAUCCGGAUUCAUUGGGUUUAAAGGGUGCGCAGGCGGGCCUUUAAGCCGGCGGGGAAAACGCGGGGCUCAAACC